ACUCGGUGUCAUCUGCAGCUGUUUGCUCCAUCAUCGUGUCCUUCCUGUACCAAAGAAGCCAGGUCAUAUAUCCUUCCUGGACCAAAGAAGCCAGCCAGGUCUCCACUUUUCCAACAUGUUCCAGACUCCAGAAGAAUCAAGUUCAGAAAUGGGGAACCAUCUCCCCGCGUGGCUUCAGUACGCCACAGAUCGUUGCAGUUCUCCCAGUUUUUCAUGUACUCCCUUUGUUAUUUUUUUACAGAGGGAGUACCUAGUUAGCUUCGUCUGGAUAGGAAGCAGGUUCAUGGCUCAGCUGCCUCUUGCAGCAUGCUGGCAUGGAUGAAGACAUUUAUCUGGGCACAUAAACAAGGCCGGCUGGGAAAAACUCUGUGAUGAAAAAAAAGGUGUAGAAAGAAACCGCUCUGGUUUGAGACAAGAGACUUUGCUUGUCUGGUUUGUAGUACUCCCUCCAUUCCAUAAUGCAGUGCAUAUAGAUUUAUUUUUUCA